rnacentral:tRNA from 1 species
GCCGAGGUGAUGAAACUGGUAGACGUGCCAGACUCAAAAUCUGGUGAGGGCAACCUCGUGGGGGUUCGAGUCCCCCUCUCGGCACCA